rnacentral:lncRNA from 1 species
GAUCCAGUGUGGGCUUCUUCACUGCUCCUGGGACAUCCCAGGCUCACUCCUGCCUCAGGGCCUUUGUACCAUAUUCCUUCUGCUUGGAACCCUCCUCAUAUCUCCCUUUGUCAUCUCCACCCAAUCUCUGCUCAAAUGUUACCUUGUCAGUGAGGCCUUGCCUGAUCAUCUUUCUGAAACUGCAACCCUCUACUCUGGGUCCCAUUACCUUCCUCUACUGAUCUUCCUUUUUUCCCAGAACAAUUUUAUCACUUGCACACUAUGUUUUAUAUUUCUUUUAUUUUCUCCCAAAUGGAAAUAUGGGCUGUGGUUUUGUUUUGUGCUUUAUGCCCAGUGCCUCAGAGAGUACUCAGAACUGGUGCUUAAAAAACAAAACAAAAAAAGGUCUUGAAUAAAUGGAUGAAUGGUAGGUGGUGCUAAAAUGAAGAGAUUAGUGGAGAUUAGAUGGUAAGCCAAACUCCGAAGUGCUGGAAGCAGUAGAUCCCAGGAAUAGAGAAGCGGAGAGGAAGAGAGCAGAAGUAGAAAAGGAGCAGAAAUACAGGCAGGGAGCAGCUGUGCUGCCUGGAUGGCAGCUGUCUACAUCAGGGACAAGUCCUCAAGUCACCGCAGCUGAUACCAGACCAUGGGACAAUGUGGUAUUCUGAAUGACAUUUCAGCCUCUCUGACUUUUGAGGUUUCUUAUCUCCCUUAGUUUCUUAUGUGUAUCAUGUUUGAUAGUGAAAAUGAUGUAUUAUUUUUCUCCAAAAUAAUUAAAAUAGGGAAUGAUUGCACUCACUGUUUAUGUUAUGACUGGAAUGUUAAAAAUCAAAGACAUAAAAAAAUGGAUUAACUUAAAGCAGAAGGAAUUUCAUGUUGUUGCAACUACUGUUACUUAAAAGCACACAUAACUCUCAUCAGAAUAUUUUUGAAAGAUUUGGCCUGUUAAUGCUAAGAGACACUUAUCCUAAAAAGACUGGAGAAAUGAUAGAAAGUCUGUCUAUAAGUUUGCCAUUUGCAGAGUGGAAUACAGUAGAAUAGCCAUGCUACUGCCUCCUAAUGGUGGGUGGAAGUAUCACAACAAUUUAUCCCAAAUGCCAUUGGUUUUUUUCUUUUCUUUUCUUUUUAAACAUAGGCAGAACAUCCAUUUUAAUUUAUGGCAAUUAACCCAUGUCUCAAAAAUCAGCGGAAACAUUGCUAUAAUAUUAGGUAAAUAAUACCUGCUAAUGAUUUGUAAAGUAAAUCAGUAACAAGGUUACUAAAUGGGAUUUUUUUUCAUUUCACCUUGAAUACAUAAUAUUCUAGAAAUCAAAGAGAGAAGCAAAAAUCUAGUAGCUAAUAUAGAAUAAGAACACAAACAACUUUCACAGUGGCCAUACCUAUGACAUUUUAGAAAUAUAAUAAGACACUU